AUUGAACGCUGGCGGCAUGCCUUACACAUGCAAGUCGAACGGCAGCGCGGACUUCGGUCUGGCGGCGAGUGGCGAACGGGUGAGUAAUACAUCGGAACGUACCCUGUUGUGGGGGAUAACUAGUCGAAAGAUUAGCUAAUACCGCAUACGACCUGAGGGUGAAAGUGGGGGACCGCAAGGCCUCACGAAGCAGGAGCGGCCGACGUCUGAUUAGCUAGUUGGUGGGGGAAAGACCCACAAAGGCGACGACCAGUAGCUGGUCUGAGAGGACGAUCAGCCAGACUGGGAGUGGGACACGGACCAGACUCCUACGGGAGGCAGCAGUGGGGAAUUUUGGACAAUGGGGGCAACCCUGAUCCAGCACUGCUGCGUGUGUGAAGAAGGCCUUCGGGUUGUAAAGCACGUUUGUCCGGAAAGAAAUCGCGCUGGUUAAUACCUGGCGUGGAUGACGGUACCGGAAGAAUAAGCACCGGCUAACUACGUGCCAGCAGCCGCAGUAC
rnacentral:rRNA from 1 species